GAGAAAGCUGUACCGACAGGUUGUCCUGGGGAUCAGCCAGGGCAUGUAAAGGGGAAAGUCCGGUGCAAAUCCGGCGCUGUGCCGCAACUGUGAUGGGCUUAGGCUAGACCUAUGCCCUCAGUCAGGAUGCCCGCCUGCGGUUUUGGCUCGCA
rnacentral:ncRNA from 2 species